GGGUACAGUGUAUAGGGAUGAAGUUAGUUGAACUCUCGACCUAGAAGCAACCCUAACCAUUUGUAUCGAAAAAACUCAAUAAAAGUUACUUAAAAAGUUUAAAUUUAACGGUAGAAAAAAUCAUUACUUAUUUGUAGUGCCGAGGCGGUGAUCUUGAUCUUCGAAAACCAACACCGUCACCGAACUGCACUGCGACCGGCGAGCACGAACACCGCACAAUCACAACCACACACCAACGCCGCCUUCAACCACCCUCCGAUCUCCACUCUGCUCUGACUACGCCUUAAGAUUCCCUCUAAGAAGGCUCUGGGAAUGGCAGCGGUUUGCAGUCAUUACAUCUUCAAUAAGUCCGGUGGAUUGAUCUACUAUAAGGAUUAUGGGUCUUCUGGACGCAUGGACACCAAUGAUAGCUUACGGGUGGCUAGCUUAUGGCAUUCAAUGCAUGCCAUCUCAGCAAUUAUCACCUGUUUCUGGUUGUGCAGGAAUUGAAUUACUCCAAGCUGACACAUUUGAUCUUCAUUGCUUCCAAUCACUAACAGGUUCAAUGUAAUAGCCCUGGCUUCCCACUGCUUUACCUCCAGUCAAGAGUGUUGCUCCUUCGCUCUUUCCAUGCUCAAUAUAGGAAAUAAUUUUUUCAAAUUGGUUCCUAUCAGCCUACAACAGACAACUGUUAUCAAACCAAUCAAGAUCAAAAGGAUCACCAACAAUCCAAGCUUUUGCUUUCUCCACCAACUUCUUCUCGACUUGAUCAUAUAUCCCUUCCUGAACAAACACACGGGAACUUGCGACACAAACUUCUCCCUGAAAAAACCAUAAGUUUAGAAAUAAAAUAUUGACUAGGCAAAGAUGUAAACAGAGGAUGCUCUUUGUAAGGAAAGGGUUUUAGGAAGACAAAAUUUCAAUUUCACCUUGUUAGUUAGGAGACCGAAAAGAGCUAGCUCAGCAGCUUUGUCGACAUCAGCAUCAUCGAAAAUAAUGAGAGGUGACUUCCCUCCUAGUUCUAGUGAAACAUGUUUUAAAUUACUCUUUGCUGCAGCUUGCAUUAUUUCGCGGCCUACUUCAACCGAACCAGUAAAGCUAACCUGAAGAUACAAAAAUCAAAGGGCUUAGCAGUCAUAGUUAGUUACCAACUUGGUAAUUGAACUUAUAAAUGUUUGACAUAUAUAAUUAACUUGCCACAUCUAUGUCCAUGUGUGAGCUAAUUGCAGCACCAGCAGUUGGGCCAAAUCCAGGUACUACAUUCAAAACUCCAUUUGGAAUUCCAGCCUUUGAAAAACAAAAAUAUUUAGUGAAGGUCCAAACUAAUCACCACGCCAAAGCGUAGACACACUAAUGUGUGCACAGGUCCACGCUAUUGGGAGAAUCUAAUUGUUUGCUCUUCCCGUCUAUGCCACGAGUUACUGCAUGGCAUUGCUUGACUAAUGGCACAACGACUCGUCACAAUGAAGUGUGACAUUAGCGUGUGCGUGCAUUGGCGUGGAACUCGUUAAUUGACAAUAUUAUUUAGUAUGUAGGUACUUACUAGCUUAGCUAGAUGAGCAUAAAACAAAGCUGAGAGAGGUGUUUGUUCAGCAGGUUUGAGGACCAUGGUGCAACCAGCAGCUAAAGCAGGACUAACUUUUACGAAGAAAAUUGAACUGGGCGCAUUCCAUGGAGUGAUAUGUCCCACAACUCCAAUUGGUUCCAUUAAUGUGUAAGCAUGGAAUUGGCCAGAAGAUUUUAAUACCUCACCAUGGAUUUUAUCAGCAGCACCUGCGUAGUAACGUAGUGUAUUUGCCGAUGAAGAGGGAAAUGAAAGUGAAUAAAACAUAUUCAAUCUGACAAAAAGAAAAAGAAUAAGUAACUUACGAAACCAGACAUUCGUGGCCAUGGACCCGAGUCAAAUGCCUCGCGCGCUGCUUUAACUGCAAUGUCAAU